rnacentral:rRNA from 1 species
UACGAAGGGGGCUAGCGUUGUUCGGAAUUACUGGGCGUAAAGCGUGCGCAGGCGGCUUCUCAAGUCAGGGGUGAAAGCCCAGAGCUCAACUCUGGAAUUGCCUUUGAUACUGAGGAUCUUGAGUUCGGGAGAGGUGAGUGGAACUGCGAGUGUAGAGGUGAAAUUCGUAGAUAUUCGCAAGAACACCAGUGGCGAAGGCGGCUCACUGGCCCGAUACUGACGCUGAGGCACGAAAGCGUGGGGAGCAAACAGG